rnacentral:rRNA from 1 species
UACGUAGGGUGCAAGCGUUAAUCGGAAUUACUGGGCGUAAAGCGUGCGCAGGCGGCUUUGCAAGACAGAUGUGAAAUCCCCGGGCUUAACCUGGGAACUGCAUUUGUGACUGCAUGGCUGGAGUGCGGCAGAGGGGGAUGGAAUUCCGCGUGUAGCAGUGAAAUGCGUAGAGAUGCGGAGGAACACCGAUGGCGAAGGCAGCCCCCUGGGCCAACACUGACGCUCAGGCACGAAAGCGUGGGGAGCAAACAGG